GCGCCUGUAGCUCAAAAGGAUAGAGCGUUGGACUUCGAAUCCAAAGGUUGCGGGUUCAAGUCCCGCCAGGCGCACCA
rnacentral:tRNA from 1 species